UGGGGAAUAUUGGACAAUGGGGGCAACCCUGAUCCAGCCAUGCCGCGUGUGUGAAGAAGGCCUUUUGGUUGUAAAGCACUUUAAGCAGGGAGGAGAGGCUAAUGGUUAAUACCCAUUAGAUUAGACGUUACCUGCAGAAUAAGCACCGGCUAACUCUGUGCCAGCAGCCGCGGUAAUACAGAGGGUGCGAGCGUUAAUCGGAAUUACUGGGCGUAAAGCGAGUGUAGGUGGCUCAUUAAGUCACAUGUGAAAUCCCCGGGCUUAACCUGGGAACUGCAUGUGAUACUGGUGGUGCUAGAAUAUGUGAGAGGGAAGUAGAAUUCCAGGUGUAGCGGUGAAAUGCGUAGAGAUCUGGAGGAAUACCGAUGGCGAAGGCAGCUUCCUGGCAUGAUAUUGACACUGAGAUUCGAAAGCGUGGGUAGCAAAACAGGAUUAGAUACCCUGGUAGUCCACGCCGUAAAACGAUGUCUACUAGCCGUUGGGGUCCUUGAGACUUUAGUGGCGCAGUUAACGCGAUAAGUAGACCGCCUGGGGGAGUACGGCCGCAAGGUUAAAAACUCAAAUGAAUUGACGGGGUCUAGCUGUUUCCU
rnacentral:rRNA from 1 species